UCCAAAAACCCUGACAAGCUCUUAAUUGAUUUACAUUUUAGAAUAGUGGCCUUCAGUUUGUUGUAGGUCUCAGAAUCAGGAUCUAGGACAUAAGACCCAGUUCCCAAAUCCACUAGUUGAGGUGCUCGCAUGAGUACUUUUUGAAGAGUGUCAGGAGGUACUGCACGGUUUAACCUCAGGACUUUGAGGUCAGGAGAUCUAGCCACUAGUCUCUCCAGAGCUGCUAAAUUAAUUUCUCCUUUGAGGCAUGCAAAAUUCAGGGACACUAGUGAGGUACAGUUUUCA
rnacentral:lncRNA from 1 species